GGACGUAGUAACUCCACCUUACGUCUGAUUACUGAGUCUGCUGUUGAUAGAACAACAAGGAUAAUUCACAUCACCAGGUGGCCUCUGCUGGUUGUGAUGCUGAUUCUUCUGCUUCUCUUUUGUCUGUGGACGAGGAAGAAGAAAGCUGCGAGCUCCACCACUGAACCACAUGAGUCCAGAGAGGCUGUGGAGGUGAGACAUUUGUCCUCAGAGACAGAACUCACCAAAGGGUCAUCGUCUGUUGUUAUUAAGUCAUGAAGAUAAUUCAGAAGUAACUUCAUCACUAACAUCUUUCUCCUUUUGAACCACCAAUAUUUAUUUACCACGUUUACUGCAAAUGUCCUUUGAAUCCAAAGAGCGAUUUAAAGGACAAAGAGUCGUAUUGACCAUCAGCUAAGCCCCUCCCCUUGGUUACUGUUGCUAGGUCUGUCCAGCUUCAGCAUCACAGCACGUAAACAUGGCGGUGAAAUGUCGGGAUGCAAACCAGCAACGUUUACAUUUCAGUCAUACAGACUUUUACUAAAUACGCUUGUGUCUUCACCAGAAGCACAUUUAGGAAAAGAUUAUGAAAUACUUGGUUAAGUUCAGGCAACAA